rnacentral:rRNA from 1 species
UACGGGGGGGGCGAGCGUUGUUCGGAAUUAUUGGGCGUAAAGGGCGCGUAGGCGGUGUGGUAAGUCUGAUGUGAAACCUCUAGGCUCAACCUAGAGCUUGCAUCAGAAACUGCCGUGCUAGAGUGUGGGAGAGGAGAGUGGAAUUCCUGGUGUAGCGGUGAAAUGCGUAGAUAUCAGGAGGAACACCGGUGGCGAAAGCGGCUCUCUGGACCACAACUGACGCUGAGGCGCGAAAGCUAGGGGAGCAAACAGG